AGCGGCGGACGGCUGAGUAACGCGUGGGAACAUGCCCCAAAGUGAGGAAUAACUGCCCGAAAGGGUAGCUAAUGCCGCAUAUGGUCUUCGGAUUAAAGGAUUUAUCCGCUUUGGGAGUGGCCUGCGCACGAUUAGAUAGUUGGUGAGGUAAAGGCUCACCAAGUCAACGAUCGUUAGCUGGUCUGAGAGGAUGAUCAGCCAGACUGGAACUGAGACACGGUCCAGACUCCUACGGGAGGCAGCAGUGAGGAAUCUUCCACAAUGGGCGAAAGCCUGAUGGAGCAACGCCGCGUGCAGGAUGAAGGCCUUCGGGUCGUAAACUGCUUUUAUAAGUGAAGAGUAUGACGGUAACUUAUGAAUAAGCACCGGCUAACUACGUGCCAGCAGCCGCGGUCAUACGUAGGGUGCAAGCAUUAUCCGGAGUGACUGGGCGUAAAGAGUUGCGUAGGUGGACAAGUAAGCGAAUAGUGAAAUCUGGGGGCUCAACCUCACAGACUAUUACUCGAACUGCUUGUCUCGAGAGUGGUAGAGGUAACUGGAAUUUCUAGUGUAGGAGUGAAAUCCGUAGAUAUUAGAAGGAACACCAAUGGCGUAGGCAGGUUACUGGACCAUUUCUGACACUGAGGCACGAAAGCGUGGGGAGCGAACGGGAUUAGAUACCCCGGUAGUCCACGCCGUAAACGAUGGAUACUAGCUGUUGGAGGUAUCGACCCCUCCAGUAGCGAAGCUAACGCGUUAAGUAUCCCGCCUGUGGAGUACGGUCGCAAGACUAAAACAUAAAGGAAUUGACGGGGACCCCCACAAGCGGUGGAUCAUGUUCUUUAAUUCGAUGAUAAACGAUAAACCUUACCAGGGCUUGACAUCCCGAGAAUUAAUCCGAAAGGAUUGAGUGCUUUUAGAACUCGGUGACAGAUCUUGCAUGGCCGUCGUCAGCUCGUGUUGUGAGAUGUUUGGUUAAGUCCAUCAACGAGCGCAACCCUUGUGAAUAGUUGUAU
rnacentral:rRNA from 1 species